rnacentral:rRNA from 1 species
CACGUAGGGCGCAAGCGUUGUCCGGAAUUAUUGGGCGUAAAGAGCUCGUAGGCGGUUUGUCACGUCUGCUGUGAAAACUCGGGGCUUAACUCCGGGCCUGCAGUGGGUACGGGCAGACUAGAGUGCGGUAGGGGAGACUGGAAUUCCUGGUGUAGCGGUGAAAUGCGCAGAUAUCAGGAGGAACACCGGUGGCGAAGGCGGGUCUCUGGGCCGUAACUGACGCUGAGGCGCGAAAGCGUGGGGAGCAAACAGG